ACGAAGGUGGGCACAACGUUCAGCAAGUCGAGGGGUUCGCCGUGCUUGCCUUCGAAAAGAUCAGGGAGCGCCCGACUGCCGAGAACAGCGAGAGGCCCAUAUUUGAGCCCUAGCUCAAGGGGCUGGAGCUGAGGGCUCUCUGACCGGCUGCCGGCGACCUGCCAGCACGCACUCCGGCUAAGGUCGGCGGCGAAAGGGGAGGGGAGCACGGUGCUCCCCUUGGCCGGCGGUGGGGAGCAGCGGCGGCGGCGGAUGGAGAAGCUCAGUCAGCACAGAUCUCGGCCGAACUGAGGAGAGCCAAGCGCCGACGGUGGCCGGGGGAGGCCGGGGUCAUCGACGGCAGACCUCCAAAGGCCGGGGCAAUCUGUAGCGGCGAUGGCAACA
rnacentral:lncRNA from 1 species